rnacentral:rRNA from 1 species
UGCGUAGGCGGAUUAAUAAGUCAGUGGUGAAAUCUCCCGGCUCAACCGGGAAACUGCCAUUGAUACUGUUAGUCUAGAGUUUAGAUGAAGUGGGCGGAAUGUAGCAUGUAGCGGUGAAAUGCUUAGAUAUGCUACAGAACACCGAUUGCGAAGGCAGCUCACUAAGCUAAAACUGACGCUCAUGCACGAAAGCGUGGGGAUCAAACAGGAUUAGAUACCCUGGUAGGUCC